UCAGGCCUAACACAUGCAAGUCGAGCGGAAACGAUGGUAGCUUGCUACCAGGCGUCGAGCGGCGGACGGGUGAGUAACGCGUGGGAAUCUGCCCAUUGGUGGGGGAUAGCCCGGAGAAAUCCGGAUUAAUACCGCAUAAUACCUAAGGGUUAAAGCAGGGGAUCUUCGGACCUUGCGCCAAUGGAUGAGCCCGCGUCAGAUUAGCUUGUUGGUGAGGUAAAGGCUCACCAAGGCUGCGAUCUGUAGCUGGCCUGAGAGGGUGGUCAGUCACACUGGAACUGAGACACGGUCCAGACUCCUACGGGAGGCAGCAGUGGGGAAUAUUGGGCAAUGGGCGCAAGCCUGACCCAGCCAUGCCGCGUGUGUGAAGAAGGCUCUAGGGUUGUAAAGCACUUUAAGUUGGGAGGAAGGCUGUUUAGUUAAUACCUAAGCAGAUUGACGUUACCAACAGAAUAAGCACCGGCUAAUUCCGUGCCAGCAGCCGCGGUAAUACGGAAGGUGCGAGCGUUAAUCGGAAUUACUGGGCGUAAAGCGCACGUAGGCGGUUUGCUAAGUCAGAUGUGAAAGCCCCGGGCUUAACCUGGGAACUGCAUCUGAUACUGGCAGGCUAGAGUACAGUAGAGGGAGGUGGAAUUUCAGGUGUAGCGGUGAAAUGCGUAGAGAUCUGAAGGAACACCAGUGGCGAAGGCGGCCUCCUGGA
rnacentral:rRNA from 1 species